rnacentral:lncRNA from 1 species
GGUGAUAAAAGUAAUACCUGGAGUUCCCGUCGUGGCGCAGUGCUUAACGAAUCCGACUAAGAACCAUGAGGUCGCGGGUUCGAUCCCUGGCCUUGCUCAGUGGGUUAACGAUCCGGCGUUGCCGUGAGCUGUGGUGUAGGUUGCAAACGCGGCUCGGAUCCCGCGUUGCUGUGGCUCUGGCGUAAGCCGGUGGCUACAGCUCCGAUUCGACCCCUAGCGUGGGAACCUCCAUAUGCCGCGGGAGCGGCCCAAGAAAUAGCAACAACAACAACAAAACAAAAAAAAAAAAAAAAUUAAUACCUAACACAUAUUGAAUGUUUUAAGAUUUACAAAUAUCAUUUUGUUUAAUCCAAACUACAACCCUCUCAGGUAAACAUUAUUACUAUCUCUGGUUCACAUAAAAGAAAAUUAUAAUUCAAGGUCACACAAUUAAGUGAUAAAACUCUUUUCUUUUUUGUUCUCCAGAGAGAUCUUCUAACAUAAUAAUUAAGAGAAUGGGUUUAGAGCCAUGCAGACCUGUGUUUAAAGACAUCUGUGCUCCACCAUUUAGCACAGAGAUUGCCACUGAUAUAAAUACUUGAUGCUUUCUCAGCAUGACUGGAAUACGGUCCAAGGAACUGAGCCUCUGCUGAGUGCAAUACUUGCCUUUGGAAAUGCAUUCUUAGAUCUCCAAGACCCUGUGAAGAUGCAAUACAUCACCAAGGAAAUGACUCUCUAG